ACACGACUCUCGGCAACGGAUAUCUCGGCUCUCGCAUCGAUGAAGAACGUAGCGAAAUGCGAUACCUGGUGUGAAUUGCAGAAUCCCGCGAACCAUCGAGUCUUUGAACGCAAGUUGCGCCCGAGACCAUUCGGUCGAGGGCACGCCUGCCUGGGCGUCACGC
rnacentral:rRNA from 2 species